rnacentral:rRNA from 1 species
CAAUGGCGUAUAUUAAAGUUGUUGCAGUUAAAAAGCUCGUAGUUGGAUUUCUGGCAGGAGCGACCGGUCGGCCCAUUGUGGUGUGUACUAGUGUUGCAUCUGGCCAUAUUUGUGGAGAGCGUGUGUGGCAUUAAUUUGUCGUGCUCGGGACCCGCAUCGUUUACUGUGAGAAAAUUAGAGUGUUCAAAGCAGGCUUAUGCCUUGGAUAUGUUAGCAUGGAAUAAUAAGAUAAGACUUUGGCGGUCUAUUUUGUUGGUUUGUCACGCCAUUGUAAUGAUUGAUAGGGACGAGUUGGGGGUAGUUCAUAUUUAAUUGUCAGAGGUGAAAUUACUUGGAUUUAUUGAAAGAAUGAACUACUGCGAAAGACAUUUACCUAAGGAA